rnacentral:rRNA from 1 species
GGAGGAAGGUCGGGGAUGACGUCAAGUCAUCAUGGCCCUUACGGCCUGGGCUACACACGUGCUACAAUGGUCGGUACAAAGGGUUGCCAAGCCGCGAGGGUGAGCUAAUCUCCAAAACUUGUCUCAGUUCGGAUUGUUCUCUGCAACUCGAGAGCAUGAAGGCGGAAUCGCUAGUAAUCGCGGAUCAGCAUGCCGCGGUGAAUACGUUCCCACGGCCUU